UACAGAGGGUGCAAGCGUUGUUCGGAAUUAUUGGGCGUAAAGCGCGUGUAGGCGGCUUUGCAAGUCGGGUGUGAAAGCCCUCAGCUCAACUGAGGAAGUGCGCCCGAAACUGCAGAGCUUGAGUACCGGAGAGGAUGGCGGAAUUCCCCAAGUAGAGGUGAAAUUCGUAGAUAUGGGGAGGAACACCGGUGGCGAAGGCGGCCAUCUGGACGGAUACUGACGCUGAGACGCGAAAGCGUGGGGAGCAACAGG
rnacentral:rRNA from 1 species